GUCACUUCUCGGCCUUUUGGCUAAGAUCAAGUGUAGCAUCUUGUAACCACUGAUGGACUUAAGCGUAACUGCUGCCUCCCAUGUUGUUUUUGCUGAGUUGUGACCUCUCUGGGGGUCUGGGCAGUGUUUAUGGAGGUCCUGAGCCGCCCAGAUGACAUGGGGGUCUGGGCAGUGUUU